CAUGGUCUUAGCUUGCUAAGACUGAUGGCGACCGGCGCACGGGUGAGUAACACGUAUCCAACCUGCCGUCUACUCUUGGACAGCCUUCUGAAAGGGAGAUUAAUACAAGAUGUUAUCAUGAGUAAGCAUUUUCGCAUGAUUAAAGGUAUUCCGGUAGACGAUGGGGAUGCGUUCCAUUAGAUAGUAGGCGGGGUAACGGCCCACCUAGUCUUCGAUGGAUAGGGGUUCUGAGAGGAAGGUCCCCACAUUGGAACUGAGACACGGUCCAAACUCC
rnacentral:rRNA from 1 species